rnacentral:rRNA from 1 species
UACAGAGGGUGCGAACGUUGCUCGGAAUUACUGGGCGUAAAGCGCGUGUAGGCGGCCAGGUAGGUCUGGUGUGAAAACUCGAGGCUCAACCUCGAGAGGUCAUCGGAAACCAUCUGGCUAGAGUCCGGAAGAGGAGAGUGGAAUUCCCGGUGUAGCGGUGAAAUGCGCAGAUAAUCGGGAAGAACACCUAUGGCGAAGGCAGCUCUCUGGGACGGUACUGACGCUGAGACGCGAAAGCGUGGGGAGCGAACAGG